CGGCCUCCUGUGCGACAUCGUCCUGCACGUGGCUGCCAAGGAGAUCCGUGCGCACAAAGUGGUGCUGGCCUCCUGCAGCCCGUACUUCCACGCCAUGUUCACAAGCAAGUACCCGCCUGGGCGGCGCUGGGGGCUCCGUGGGUCCCUCGGGUCAGCCCGUGUAACCCGCUGUCCCCGCAGAUGAGAUGAGCGAGAGCCGCCAGACCCACGUGACGCUGCACGACAUCGACCCUCAGGCCUUGGACCAGCUGGUGCAGUUUGCGUAUACGGCUGAGAUUGUGGUGGGCGAGGGCAACGUGCAGACUCUGCUCCCAGCCGCCAGUCUCCUGCAGCUGAAUGGCGUCCGAGACGCUUGCUGCAAGUUUCUACUGAGUCAGCUCGAUCCCUCCAACUGCUUGGGUAUCCGGGGCUUUGCCGAUGCGCACUCCUGCAGCGACCUGCUCAAGGCCGCCCACAGGUACGUGCUGCAGCACUUCGUGGACGUGGCCAAGACCGAGGAGUUUAUGCUGCUGCCCCUGAAACAGGUAACAGCUGGCGGGCCCAGCCCUCGCCCCCCACCCCACCCCAGUCUUUGUCUUUGACUCCCGACCCCGUUUUGUUCCUGACACAGCCCUGCCCACAAUCCUUAGUGCCUGCUGUGUGUCCCCGAGACCUUCCUGGAUCUGGGCCCCCCAGGAGCCUCGUCUGUGGCUCCUGACUCUGCUCAGCCCCUCCCAGUAUGAACACUCAGCCCCCACCUCCUAACCCUCCCUCCUAGGCAUCUUGAGGGCUCCCUGGGUCCACAGGACCCUCCCCAGAUCUCAGGUCUGAGGACCCCCACUCCCAGGUGCUGGAACUGGUCUCUAGCGACAACCUGAACGUGCCUUCAGAGGAGGAAGUCUACCGAGCCGUCCUGAGCUGGGUGAAACACGACGUGGACGCCCGCAGGCAGCAUGUCCCACGGGUGAGGC
rnacentral:sRNA from 1 species